GAGUAAUGUCUGGGAAACUGCCUGAUGGAGGGGGAUAACUACUGGAAACGGUAGCUAAUACCGCAUAACGUCGCAAGACCAAAGAGGGGGACCUUCGGGCCUCUUGCCAUCGGAUGUGCCCAGAUGGGAUUAGCUAGUAGGUGGGGUAACGGCUCACCUAGGCGACGAUCCCUAGCUGGUCUGAGAGGAUGACCAGCCACACUGGAACUGAGACACGGUCCAGACUCCUACGGGAGGCAGCAGUGGGGAAUAUUGCACAAUGGGCGCAAGCCUGAUGCAGCCAUGCCGCGUGUAUGAAGAAGGCCUUCGGGUUGUAAAGUACUUUCAGCGGGGAGGAAGGGAGUAAAGUUAAUACCUUUGCUCAUUGACGUUACCCGCAGAAGAAGCACCGGCUAACUCCGUGCCAGCAGCCGCGGUAAUACGGAGGGUGCAAGCGUUAAUCGGAAUUACUGGGCGUAAAGCGCACGCAGGCGGUUUGUUAAGUCAGAUGUGAAAUCCCCGGGCUCAACCUGGGAACUGCAUCUGAUACUGGCAAGCUUGAGUCUCGUAGAGGGGGGUAGAAUUCCAGGUGUAGCGGUGAAAUGCGUAGAGAUCUGGAGGAAUACCGGUGGCGAAGGCGGCCCCCUGGACGAAGACUGACGCUCAGGUGCGAAAGCGUGGGGAGCAAACAGGAUUAGAUACC
rnacentral:rRNA from 1 species